UACAGAGGGUGCGAGCGUUGUCCGGAAUCACUGGGCGUAAAGGGCGCGUAGGCGGCCCGGCAAGUCAAUGGUGAAAGCCCAGAGCUCAACUCUGGGAUUGCCUUGGAUACGGGAUCGCUUGAGGAUCGGAGAGGCAAGGGGAAUUCCACGUGUAGCGGUGAAAUGCGUAGAGAUGUGGAGGAACACCUGUGGCGAAGGCGCCUUGCUGGCCGAUUUCUGACGCUGAGGCGCGAAAGCUAGGGGAGCAAACAGG
rnacentral:rRNA from 1 species